rnacentral:rRNA from 1 species
UGAGGGAAUAUUGGGUCAAUGGGCGGAAGCCUGAACCAGCCAAGUAGCGUGCAGGAAGACGGCCCUAUGGGUUGUAAACUGCUUUCAGUCGGGAAUAAUUCGUCGGUCGUGACCGACGUUGCAGGUACCGUCAUAAGAAGGACCGGCUAACUCCGUGCCAGCAGCCGCGGUAAUACGGGGGGAUGCGAGCGUUAUCCGGAUUCAUUGGGUUUAAAGGGUGCGUAGGCGGCUUUGCAAGUCAGCGGUGAAAGGCCCGGGCUCAACCCGGAAAGUGCCGUUGAUACUGUGAGGCUGGAAUGCGGAUGCUGUGGGAGGAAUGAGUGGUGUAGCGGUGAAAUGCAUAGAUAUCACUCAGAACACCGAUUGCGAAGGCAUCUCACAAAUCCGCAAUUGACGCUGAGGCACGAAAGCGUGGGGAUCG